CGUGUAUAACUGGAUUAAACACAAAGAAAGCUGGUCGGCUCAGCGAGAGAGAGAGAGAGAGAGAGAGAGAGAGUUAAAAAAUUUCAAUGAUACUGAACUCAGCUGCUGCCACUGCCACUGCCAUGGCCGUCCCUUGCAGGCCUCCAUUAAGGACCAUGUGCUUAGGCUCCAACAUCAACACGGAGCAGCUUCGUGCCCAGCUCGAUCAGCUUCACUCCGAGGCAGAGAGAACCAGAGCCAAGGCAAAUAGUGCAAGGCUGAGACUUCUGCGAUUGUCAGAUGCAGCUGACAAGCUUCGACGGCAAGCAGCUAUUAGUGUCCAAACUGGGAAAGAAAAUGAUGCAAGGCAACUGCUUUUACAGAAAAAAAAGGUCAUACUAGCUUUGGAGAAGUCAAAACGCCGCAUUGAAUUGCUUGAUGAGCUUUCGGCGAAGUUAAAUGAGGCCGUAUCUCUGAAUGAAAGUCAGCUAGUUGGGAAUGUUUCUUUGGAUCUUGAAGUUGGUAGAGAAGAUGCACCCAGUCCUGUUCGGAUUAUAUCACCAAAGCAGGAAAAUACUGAAGAUCUGAAUGAGAACAAAGAAUUUGAGCCUAAUAUGCUGGAACUGGACGGUACAGAAGAUUUGCAACUCCAUUCAGAGGGUCAAGAAAACCUACCAGUUGAUAAGGAGGCAGAGGAUCUUGAAGCUUCUCCAAGUGUGGGCAUUCAGAAUGAAGAUGACAGUGUCAGUAGUUUGAAUGGAAUAUCUUCUUAUGAGGAUUUCUUGGAACAUUUGGAUAAAGAUCUCAGCAAUAUUGAAGCAGAACUUCUGACCAUUUUGAGGGUCUCAACCUUGAUACUAGAUAGCAAUGAGACAGGAAAAAAUUCGAGGGUGCAGGAAACACUGGAACUUCUUGAGGGCAUCCAUGGCAUUAGAAAGAGAAUUACCAGUAUUAAAUUGACGAAGGUGGAGACCAGAUGAUAUUUCAUUUUGUGGUAUUCAGUUUUUUGCAAGCAGAACCUAGUUACGAGGAAGAUGAUUGGCAAUGGUAACUUGAAGGAUGGCUUGUACUAUCUGGACUCUCAGCCCAACACACAAGAUGUUUCACAAGAUGGUUCAGACUCAGUUUAAUACCAAGAUUAAAAUUGUUCGUUCUGACAAUGGAGGUGAAUAUAUGUCUGGUAAUCUCGAGAUGUGUUAAUUUUUAAUUGACUGCAUUCUGUUGGCAAAAUCACUAUUAUGUAAGUCUGCUAGCUUAACAGGGAUGCUGUAUUUUCCAGAGUCUUCAGAAUAUUCAAAAGUUAAUUUACUCAAUAUGAAAAGUCUUAAUAUGACAAGUAAUAGUGUCAUCAGCUCAUGAAAGACAAUUUCCAAGCAUCAGGAAGAUUCUGCGCAGUUUACAACUUAACAAAAGUCGGUUCCCUACUUACUGUCCGAACGGCCCAAAGGAAGCGUCUGGACGCCCAUCAGUGUUCGAAGAAUGUCCGAACACCUUAGCAGACACCAACCACAGGGAACUCAUGUUCGCAUUGAUGUUCGGACAUGCGAAUAGCAACUCCUGAGAGCACCUAUUUGCACAGGUGUCCAAACGGCAAACUGGAAGCUGGGAACAAUGAAUAUUGCAAGCAACCGUUCAAACACUAGGGCUAUACCGUCCAAAUUCGAUGACUGAAGAUUAUUGAAGAAUCGCGUAUUUUAAAGUCAAUUGAUGCUUGCCGUCCGAAAGCUCAUUGCCUAAGUCCGAACGCUACCUAAAGAACUCCGAUUCAGACUUGUAUUAGGUUUUCUAUAGCCUAUAAAUAGAGGUCUCUAAGCAUGUAUUAUUCAAGAAUUCGGUAUUGAAUUCCAUUGUACUAAGAGAGGGUGUGUAGGCAAAAACAGAGAUAUUUGCUAGCUGUCUUAGGAUUUUUAGUGUAAUUUGAUCAACUCAUUGAAGUUUAGUCUAAGGAGAAGCCCUAAGCUAAAGAAAUCCAUUGAAGACCCCUUCAGAUAGGAGACCUGGUUGGGAAGCAUUCAUGUAUAGGUACACGUCAAAGUGUACAGUAUGACCACUGCAUAAGUUAUGUAAGUGCGAGUGCUUUGUUUUCUAAAUAGUGGAUGUAUUGGGUUUGGCUGCCCAAGAGUAGUUUUUCUCUUAACUGACCACUUCGUUAACAAAAUAUAUAUCUUCUUUCAAUUC